AAAAUAGUUUUUUAUUUUGAAAUUUUUAAUAUUUAUUUCUUAAAAUUUGAAAUCUCCUUCCAAACUAUCUAAACUAUUAAAACUGAAGUAUAAAUAAAUCUUCACCCCGAGUUUUCCCCAAUAGUUACAAUCAUAUGCCACUGGACUUAAACACUGUAGUUUUACACUUUCCUUAACCCAUUUAUUUUCUAUACCAAAAAGACGUUAAACCAUCCCGUUCGAUAUACAAUCGUAUUAAUAAAAUUAGACCAGCACGUACUUACAUCAUUCGAAACCAAUACCCCAGUUUUAAUAUUUGACCAACCAGCACAUACCUUAUAUUAUUCCAAUCAAAUACUCCACUAAACGUACGACCGGUAGUUUUUUCUAUUAAAAAAUUAAAACUGCCAAUUACAAACCAAACCAAACUAUUCAUCACGAUUUCUUAAGCUUAAUGGAGAUCAUCAUAUAAACAGUAUAUACAUGCUAAAUAAGAUAUCACAAAUUUUGAUUCACAAUCAUCCCU
rnacentral:lncRNA from 1 species